UUCUUUUCGUUUUUUGUCUUUGAGUAUUUCGCUGGAAGCCUGGAACUUAUCAUUGUGUGUCGUUUUCGUUUCCAACUCCUCUAAGGGCUUCCGUGUUCGUUGAUAAAUUUUUUGGAUUGCAGGUAGCCAGGUACAUCCAACUUUACAAAGCUGUAAAGUAUAUCACGAUAUAGAGAGACUAUCCACUUUCUGUUGAACCACUCUGCAACAAAUGAUGAACACAAUGGAGAGGAUUUUGGAGGGCCCCCUUGGUUAUAGCAGCAGUUCACCUUUGAAGGCUAGAGAAGUAGAAGUACUUGAAGAAAAAGCCAAAAUGAGAUGUUUUGGCCAGGUUUUGGUGAAACUUUUGCAGGGGGUGGCAGACAAAAAACACCAACUCCUAAAGCAUUCCACAAAAAGCAUAACUGUGGAGAUGAUCAGGAGGUGGGGUUCCUAGCGGCAUAGACAACCAUGUUCCUGCAAGAGCCUGUCAAAUCUGGCGGUAGAAAGUAGAAGCCGGGUUCACAUUUUUACUAAAGCUAUCAGUUGUAAUCAGGUCAUGAGUAAAAAGGGAUUGCCACUUCUGCAAUAUCCAAAACUAGGAUGAGCAAUGCUGAGAAUGCCAAUGGUGGCAAGAAGUUCAUAUAUAACAAAGGGGAAGGAAGCUCCAAGGUUUGCUUAACUAUGGAACCAAAUAAUUGCUAUAUAGUUUCAGAGAGGGAGAUAUGAUUAGUGAUAGGUAAUGCAAGGGAUAAUCUUAUGUUUAUGGGUUCAUGAUCCUUUUAGCUUGUUGGUGAUGUUAGGAGUUUCCAUAUCCUAACAAUUGGUCAGACUUUGCUGUUAGUUUCUCUCUUUCUCCCUCUCUCUGGCUUUUUGUAUUCUUUCUUAAUAUUUUGGUUAUUGAAAGUGUAUGCUCCUUAACUUCUGCUUCGAAUAAUUUCUAUUGCUUGUUUCUUCUGA